rnacentral:rRNA from 1 species
AGUGAACGCUGGCGGUAGGCCUAACACAUGCAAGUCGAACGGCAGCACAGUAAGAGCUUGCUCUUACGGGUGGCGAGUGGCGGACGGGUGAGGAAUACAUCGGAAUCUACUUUUUCGUGGGGGAUAACGUAGGGAAACUUACGCUAAUACCGCAUACGACCUACGGGUGAAAGCAGGGGAUCUUCGGACCUUGCGCGAUUGAAUGAGCCGAUGUCGGAUUAGCUAGUUGGCGGGGUAAAGGCCCACCAAGGCGACGAUCCGUAGCUGGUCCGAGAGGAUGAUCAGCCACACUGGAACUGAGACGCGGUCCAGACUCCUACGGGAGGCAGCAGUGGGGAAUAUUGGACAAUGGGCGCAAGCCUGAUCCAGCCAUACCGCGUGGGUGAAGAAGGCCUUCGGGUUGUAAAGCCCUUUUGUUGGGAAAGAAAAGCAGCAGGUUAAUACCCCGCUGUUCUGACGGUACCCAAAGAAUAAGCACCGGCUAACUUCGUG